AAGUCGUAACAAGGUCUCCGUAGGUGAACCUGCGGAGGGAUCAUUAACACGUUUUUAUUAACGUACCCACCAAACAAAAGGAAACUGUAGACGCGUUCAGUGUAAAAACUGUACAAAUCUUAGCUUUGCUCCCUAUUCAAGUCCUUGUGACUCUAAUAGGCUAUUCUUUCCAAACCCCUUUCCAACUAGAUCUAUGCUCGUUUUGUUUCGUUUUCGAAUGAAGUGUGGUGUGAUCGACUAAACUGCCCUGUAUCUAGAAUGUGUUAACUCCCUUUCUAGCUUGAUAUUUUAAUGCAAAGCACAACUCUUAGCAACGGAUAUCUUGGUUCUC
rnacentral:misc_RNA from 1 species